CUGAUACUCCCUCCGUUCUAAAUUACUUGUCGCAGGUAUGGAUGUAUCUAGAUGUAUUUUAGUUCUAGAUACAUCAAUUUCUGCGACGAGUAAUUUGGAACCGAGGGAGUACAUU
rfam:Triticum urartu cultivar G1812 contig486901, whole genome shotgun sequence.